rnacentral:misc_RNA from 1 species
GAAUUGGCUACUACAUUGCCAUCUGACAAAUGAAAGUGCUUUUGACUCCAACAAAAACUAUAUAGCUACACUAUCCAAUUCAUUAUAUUUGUAUACUCAACAUCACUUUGAGUGCUAACUUUUUAGUUUUCUGGUUGGUAAUGUAGGGAUUAAGCAUUAAACCUCCACUGCAAUAAUUACUUACAGGCAUAACAAUUAAGCCAACCCCAAUUAGUUGCUAGUAUUCUGGUUUUAAUAGAGACGAUGCAUUGUAAAAGCUUUUAA